AUCAGAGCUCGGAAACACGUCCUUACCUGGCGCUAACGCGAGGGCGGGAUGCCGGCCAGCCAAUGGCCGGAGGGAAACUCGAGAAGGGGAGGAGGAGACUCACCUGCCCACCAAUAGGGUGCCGCGAAGAGAGAUGAUUUUGCCUAGCAACGAAGAGAACAGGGAGGGCCUGAGGUAAAAAGGAAAAGAAAAAAAAAGCGCGGGCGAAAGUCGAAGUCCAAACUUUCCAGGUGGGCGGAAGCAUCUUGAUGUGACUUUUCUACCUCAAAAUUAUAUAUUAAGCCUCUUGAUAAAGAAAAGUGGAGUUUAUAAAAGUCUUUUGCAGGAUCAAAGUUACAACAGAGAAGGAAGAAAGGAAGAGGAAAAAGAAAUAUACAGGAAUUCUUCGAUUUAGGACUACAAUCGAGCCGGACAUUUCCGUUGCUAAGCGAGACAUUUUGAGUUUUGCCCCAUUUUACCACCUUUCUUGCCACCGUUGUUAAGUGAAUCGCUGCAGUUCUUUGAUUAACAAUAUGGUUGUUAAGCGUUUCCCCAUUGACUCUGCUUGUUGGAAAGAUAGUCACAUGACCUUGGGAUGCAGUAACGGUCGUAAGUAUGAACCAGUUGCCAAGCAUUCUGAAUUUUGAUCACACGACCUAGGGGCUGCUGAUCAUAAGUGUGAAAAAUGGUCAUAAAUCACUUUUUUCGUUGCUAUUGUAACUUUGAACAGUGACUAACAUACAUUUGUAAGUCGAGGACAACCUGAAAUCCUAAGAUUUGACUUUAAAAACAACAACAAAUCUCAAUAUAUUUUAUAUUUUCUUUUCCUCCAUAAAGUUGCAGGGUUCAGGGUUAACUUCUUUGUUUCCUUUGUACUCUUAUAAGAGAAUUGAAGGUAUUGAAAUAGAACCAUGUGAAACAAAAGCUGCUCUAUUUUCUCUUCAGUCACAUUCUGGACUAAGUUUUAGCAAAGGAUUGUGCAACAGAUAUAAGAAAUGAACUAUGGUUCACUGAAUUAAUUCAAUGGCUCACGUUCAUGCAACAUGCUACAACAUUUUUUUUUUAAAUUUACAUUUAUAUCCCGCCCUUCUCCGAAGACUCAGGGCGGAUUACACUAUGUCAAGCAAUAGUCUUCAUCCAUUUGUAUAUUAUAUACAAAGUCAACUUAUUGCCCCCAACAAUCUGGGUCCUCAUUUUACCUACCUUAUAAGGAUGGAAGGCUGAGUCAACCUUGGGCCUGGUGGGACUCGAGCCUGCAGUAAUUGCAGGCUGCUGUGUUUUAAUAACAGGCUAUCUUACAAAACUUAGCUGGAUUUGCACAACACACUGGGCCAUAAAGCAGCCAACCGCAGUUUAGCACUCCAUUCUGUAACCCAGCCAUCAUAUGAUUUCCUUAAUCAUCUCAACACAAUCAAUUAUGGCUUAUGAGCAAACCAUGGUUUAACAAAAUGUGCAAGUUAAGUGUUUUUUCUAUCAGGGCAACCUGGUCUACCCAAAUACAGGACGGAGCCUACUGCUUCCGCUUUUGCCUUUCAGCCCCAAUCCAGGAGCCUUCACAGGCUGCUGCUUUUGCGACAAACUGCUUUUGUGUUGAAUUUAUAUUUCCCGACAAAAGAAAUAAAGGGAGACUAGUAUAGAUCUAUUUCAAGCUAUUUUGCUGUCAUCCGCUAGCCAUACCCUUCUGGGAUUCAAACCCAGGCUGCUUUCAUAUUAGGUAGAUGUAUUAAUCUCUAAGCCAAUGUGCAAGUCUGUUCGUAUUCUUACAAUAACAGAAAAUCAUCUUAAGGUAGCUUCAAAAGUAAAGUUUUAUGGUAUGAGCUACAAAAACGUAGUCUUUUGUUUUAUUUUAGGCCAAACACAAUCUCAGAUUUCCAUAUAGAAGGCACAUAUAUGGUAUUGUUUUCUUCCAGCAGAGGGCAAGAGAACAUUAGCUAAAUGUUAGUGGGAAAAGUGUUUCAGCCAAUCAUCUGAUUCAGUUCUGUUUUUGAAUUUCAGGGGGUAUUAUGGAAAAAAAGCAAAAGAUAAGAGAAAUGAAUUAUUGAGUCCAGGAAAUGUCUUCACAGGUUCCACCAAACUAGAAUCUAGAAGGACAGGUCAGCAUUGAAAUGGGCAAAGGCGUAUUCCACCAGUGCAGCGAAGACAAAGACAUAACAGAUCCAGAAGUAGACGUCCAACGCUUUUAUGGCCGAAGCCCUAGGAAGAGAAGAACGAGCGCUCACCAUCAGGGUGGUCAUGUUUUCCAAAGAAACUUGAUUCAAAAGCACGGCGAAAGCACUCGAAGUCAUUUCCCUUCUUUUCCCCCAGCUUGCGUGAUUUGUGCGUUUGAACUCACAGCUCUCCAAAUCCAGCAUACAUUCCUGCUCAUCCAUUGGAUACUUGGUGAGAUCCAUAUCACAGGCCACCGUAGAGGUAAUCCUGCACCAAACCAAGAAAGAGCAAAACACACAACUCUUACAUUCAAGCACCUUUCUGCUUACCCUGCAUGCUUACAGUGGUGGCCAAACUUGUGGAAACCUUUUGAGAAAAGUAUAUUUUUGAGGUUUGAUGGCUAAUAACACCACUUUUUUUUUUUUGAGUUUCAAGAUAAUCAUAGUCCACUGCUGGAAUGGCCUGGGAAUAGCCCAGACCUUCACCCAAUUGAAAAUCUAUGGAGCCGACUAAAGAAACGUGUUAGUCAGAAGUGACCCAGCAAUAAAACCCAGUUACUAAAAGACUUGGUUCACUCCAUGGGAAGAUGUUGUAAGGCCGUCAUUCAUGCUAAAGGUUACUCAAUUAAGUAUUAAGUGACAUGGGGAUCAUUUUUGUAUAUCUCGUUUUUUCUAUGGUAAUAAUUUUUGUAUAUCUCAUUUUUUUUCUACGUGUUUCACUUUCCUUCUUUAUACUAUAACUGCUAUUCUAAUAGUAAAUCCUUCAUCAAAGUUAUUGCAUUACAUUCUUCAUUAAAUUAUCUUUCCAUUGAUAUAUAAUUUUAUGGUACUACUCAAAAAAAAAGUGAUGUUAUUAGCUAGUUUUAGAAAAUACACUUUUCCCAAAAGGUUUCCACAAUUUUGGCCACUACAGUAGGGCAAAACCUUGGUCCUUUGUAGGUAUGUGGACUUCAGUUCCCAGAAUUCCAUAUGAUGAGAAUUACAGGAGCUGAAUCCCCAACCUCUCGAUAUUCCCGAAAAAUGGGAACAUGCUGGCU